rnacentral:rRNA from 1 species
CCUACGGGGGGCAGCAGUGAGGAAUAUUGGUCAAUGGACGAGAGUCUGAACCAGCCAUGCCGCGUGAAGGAUGAAGGCGUUUGCGUUGUAAACUUCUUUUAUCUGGGAAGCGGUACCAGAGGAAUAAGCACCGGCUAACUCCGUGCCAGCAGCCGCGGUAAUACGGAGGGUGCAAGCGUUAUCCGGAUUUACUGGGUUUAAAGGGUGUGUAGGCGGACUUUUAAGUCAGCGGUGAAAUCUCCGGGCUCAACCCGGAAACUGCCAUUGAUACUAUUAGUCUUGAAUAUUGUUGAGGUAGGCGGAACGGGUCAUGUAGCGGUGAAAUGCAUAGAUAUGACCCGGAACACCGAUUGCGAAGGCAGCCUACUAAGCAAUAUUGACGCUGAGGCACGAAAGCGUGGGGAUCAAACAGGAUUAGAUACCCUUGUAGUC